UACGGAGGGAGCUAGCGUUGUUCGGAAUUACUGGGCGUAAAGCGCACGUAGGCGGCUCAGCAAGUCAGGGGUGAAAUCCCGGGGCUCAACCCCGGAACUGCCCUUGAAACUGCUAAGCUAGAAUCUUGGAGAGGCGAGUGGAAUUCCGAGUGUAGAGGUGAAAUUCGUAGAUAUUCGGAAGAACACCAGUGGCGAAGGCGACUACCUGGCCUGUUCUUGACGCUGAGGCGCGAAAGCUAGGGGAGCAAACGGG
rnacentral:rRNA from 1 species